rnacentral:rRNA from 1 species
UACGUAGGGCGCAAGCGUUGUCCGGAAUUAUUGGGCGUAAAGAGCUCGUAGGCGGUCUGUCGCGUCGGAUGUGAAAAUCCAGGGCUCAACCCUGGACCUGCAUUCGAUACGGGCAGACUAGAGUUCGGUAGGGGAGAAUGGAAUUCCCGGUGUAGCGGUGAAAUGCGCAGAUAUCGGGAGGAACACCGGUGGCGAAGGCGGUUCUCUGGGCCUUACCUGACGCUGAGGAGCGAAAGCGUGGGGAGCGAACAGG